UUCAAAGUCACAAUUUCGACUUUCAAAGUCAUAAUUAUGAGAUUCAAAGUCAUAAUUUCGACUUUCAAAGUCAUAAUUAUGAGAUUCAAAGUCAUAAUUAUGAGAUUCAAAGUCAUAAUUUCGACUUUCAAAGUCAUAAUUUCGAUUUUUCCAAAAAAGCAGACAUGCUGUCUUGUGUGACAUUUACACAGUAUUCCAUUUGAUCUGUCUAACCAGGAAAACACAGAUUUUUCUCCUAUUAAUGGAUUAUAAACAAAUUGAGGAGUAUUUCAGAUGUGGUUUAACCAAUGAUGAAAUUCUUGCUUUGCUGGCUGAGGUUCAUGGGGUAAUUCUUAGCAAGAGGACACUAGAAAGGAUUCUUAAUAAGAAGAAACUUUGGCGCCGAAAGAACAAAAGUGAUGUGAGUGUAGUGGCAGCUUUCAUUCGUCAGCAACUUGAAACCUCUGGACAAUGUCACAGAUAUCGAUGGAUGCACCAAAAAUGCUGGAUGAAUGGUAUUGUUACAGACAGGGAAACAGUUCGAGUCCUUUUACGCUUACUAGAUGGUGAAGGAGUAGACCUAAGGUCAAGAAAUCGACUGAGGAGACGGAUUUACUAUAGUCGUGGUCCAAACUAUGUUUGGCAUAUGGACGGCUACGAUACGCUCAAACCAUUUGGAAUUGGGAUCAAUGGUUGCAUUGACGGUUUUUCCAGAAGGCUAAUAUGGCUUGAGGCAUACAAAACAAAUAACGAUCCAAGAGUCAUUGCUGGAUACUUCAUGGAUGCAGUGAUUAAAGCUGAGGGUUGUCCUGAAAGACUUAGAGUGGAUUUAGGGACAGAAAAUGUUAAUGCAGCUGACAUGCAAAGAUAUUUGCAUCUUACAGAAGACCAACCUCAAAGUGAUAAUGUAAUAUUUGGUCCAAGCACUGGAAAUCAGCGGAUUGAAAGAUGGUAGUUGGCCCUGCGAAGUGAAUGUAUCCAGUUCUGGAUGGACCUCUUUGACAAACUGAAAGCAGAUGGACACUUCUCGGAUAACUUCUUGGACAAAGCCUUGAUCCAGUUCUGUUUUCUCCACAUAAUACAGAAAGAACUAAAUGAAGUUGUUUCAGCUUGGAACCACCACAGGAUACGUCCAACACACAAUUCACGAAGUCCUCAUGGGCGACCAUUCAUGAUGUACACAGUACCUCUGGUGUAUGGAACCAGAGACUAUCUACACAGCAUUGAUCUGAACAGGGUUGAAGCCUGCUUGGAAAACUGUGUUUUCAAAGACUUUCCAUGCGAUGAAGAUGUCUUCAGUAUCUGUGUGGACCUGAUUUCAGAGCAUAACCUGAAUGUCACAGAUGAUGUGUUUGCAACAACUGAUCUAUACAUAAGACUCAGACAACUGAUUACCAGAGAUUUGGAGCUGCAUUGAUAAAUGUAAAAACAUUUUGUUGCGUUGACAGUUUGCUACCUCGUCCCUAAUUUGGACUUCAGUAGAUAUUUGAUGACAUUGUGAGUGGCAGCAUUUGCUUCAACACAUUGUUGCACCAGUAUAAAGAUGGGUCAAAGCCAUUCACAAGCUCUGUAACUAAGCAAGAAGAGACACUAAAAUAAGAUAAAUCAUGCUGAGCUGAUAAAAUAAGUCUGACAUUAGAAAAAUAUAUUGAUGCAUUGGACAGAUGAUUUUUGGUUUUGAUAUUUUCCCUUUAUUAUCAAUAUCAUUGCAUUACAGUUUGAACAUUAUGCUGAUUAUUAAACAGGAAAUAAAGGAAUUGAGAACUGCUGUAGAAACCUCAUUAUUUUUCAGGUGUGCAACCCAAUGCUGAUUUAAAGCUUCCCCCGCCCCAAAUAAAUCACACAUAUAAACUGGAAAAAGCGGUUUAUUGAACUUCAAAAUUAAAGUCUCUAUUUAGCUAUUAGAGAAGCCUUUGAGUGUUUUAAAAUAAUUCUUUAAGAUAAUGA